rnacentral:miRNA from 1 species
GAGCAACAUAGUCAUUUGUGCUUGAUCUAAACAUGGAUUUUUGAGAAAUCAAAACUUGAGUGUGUUUAGUUUUCCCCAAGGACUGAGAUGACAGGUGUCU